ACCUUCUCCUCCUUAGAAAGCCUUUCUGCUACUCCUGGUCCUCAUGCCAGCCCUGUGCACAGUCUGGAUCCUUACCGCCAUCCUUGCCUUCAUUAUCCAGGUGAGAAAGGAAGGUUCAGAGAAGGGACGCAGUGACGGCAGAAUGAAGCAGAAAUGCAAGCCUGAGAACAGAGCUGGCCUGUACUCUCGGUGUCAGAGGGCAGCUGAACUCCUCCCUCCUCUGUCUCCGCAGAAAAGAAGACUUAAGAGUGUCCGUUUCUCCCCUUUCCAGCCCGGGGAAUUCAGGUGAGCCAGAAAACCUCUCUAAGCCUCAGUGUCCUCGCCUGGAAGAUGGGGGUGACCAUGCCUCCCUUGUGAGGUUGUGGAGGGGGAGGACACCGUUCAGCACAGGGCUGGCCAUGGGCCCCUCCUCCCAGCUGGAGCGGCUGGGGUGGGACGGGGCUGGGAGUCCCAGCAGCAGCUGCGUCAGCCUGGCAUCCUGCGCCUGCAGACCGGGCUGAGGAAGCUGGCACUCGGCCCCUCUCUUGACUCACACUCCUUUUCCAGGUCUGGCCCACCAAAAACAGAACAGGCAUCCUCUGAAGCCCCGUGCUCCUUCCAGAGAGGUGAGUCUCACCCUAAAUGGCCAUGUCAGCAGGGUUUGCAUGGCCAAGAAGCUGGGUGCUCUCUGCCGCCUCCUAAACGGAUCCACAAUCUCCAAGAAACUCUGGGGAGUGAUCCACACUGAAGGAUGAAAACUCUUCCUGGUACUUCCUGUCUGCACCACACUAUUUGGCAGACAUAAGGUUCAUACGCCUUAUCUCCUAUGAUUCCCUGAUGGCUUUGUCGUGCAGCUGGAUGGUGCAGUGGCUAAGAGCAUAGGCACAGCUUUAGUUGGACAGCUGAGGGUUUGAAUCUUGGCUGUGUGACCUUGGACAAGUCACCUAACCUCUCUGGGCCUCAGUGUUGGCAUCUGUAAAAUGGGGCUACCUCAUGCAAUCAGACAGAUGCAAAUAAAUCACUCAGCCUGAGGAUGCUUCGUACACACAGAGCUCUCAGAUACUCAACUGCACCUACAAGGAAGGCAGAGGCCUUUGGGUCCUGUCAGAGUGCUGGGCACACAGCUCAACCAGACUUUACUUUUUAAAAGCGAUUCCAACACUGGGAGUCCCAGAAUUACAAUCCGAGGCCUGGCAAGGAUGUACUUUUGGAAGCUCUUCAUGUCCGUCACCACUUCCAGAAGCUCCUGCCAAAGCCGAGCUUAUGAGUGGGGGUACGGGAGACCCCAGGCAGGGAAGAGAACGCGGGGAAGGUGGGAGACAGCAGCCGGAGAGGAGAACUCAGGACAGGAAGCCAGAAGGCUGACCUGGCUCUGCUACCCAAAGGUCCCUUGCAGGACUCUGGGCACAAGGACACCAGAGAACCCCAGAGGGCAGGCUGGCAGGUAGGCAGCAGACCGUGAGACUCAGUGAUGUCAUGCUUUCCCAGGAUGACUCAGUGGUACCCCUGGGCUGUGAAUGGGAGCUGUGUACUGGGCCUCGCGCCCUCCCUGUCUCCUUGCCCUUCAGGCUUGCAUGGUAUCUCUCCUUCCCCCGGCACCUCCUGUCCUCCCUGCCCCCGGGACCCACGGCUAUAGCAUUGGUGCUCUGCUCCUAGCUGUGACCCCCAUGCUCCCUGUCAUGUCUCUCCAAUCUCCACAUUGAGGGAAGACCUAACUGCCAGAAAGAUCUGGAUUUCAUUACUGCCCCUGACUCCUCCUGGCCAAGUGAUCUUGGGUUGGUUAACCUGCCUCUCUGAACCUGUUUCCUCAUCUAUAAAAUGGAAACAUUGCUAUCAACCUUGCUGGGUUGUAUGGGGCUUAGUGAGAUGGUCUGUGAAACACUUGGCACACAGCAGGUGCUUAGCAAAUGUAAAGUAUGACAUUCAAGGGCCUCUAUGAUCUGACCUCAAUUUACUUUUCUAGCUGCGUUUAUUAAAAAAAUAAUAGCUCA